GAUGAAGAACGUAGCGAAAUGCGAUAAGUAAUGUGAAUUGCAGAAUUCAGUGAAUCAUCGAAUCUUUGAACGCACAUUGCGCCCGCCAGUAUUCUGGCGGGCAUGCCUGUUCGAGCGUCAUUUCAACCAUCAAGCCCCCGGCUUGUGUUGGGGACCUGCGGCUGCCGCAGGCCCUGAAAACCAGUGGCGGGCUCGCUAGUCACUCCGAGCGUAGUAAUACAUCUCGCUCAGGGCGUGCUGCGGGUUCCGGCCGUUAAAAAGCCUUAUUUACCCAAGGUUGACCUCGGAUCAGGUAGGGAGACCCGCUGAACUUAAGCAUAUCAAUAAGCGGAGGA
rnacentral:misc_RNA from 1 species